UCCGGAUCGAAGUAGGCAAACAUGGCUGAGCCGACCUCAGAGCCUUGAGUAAAGGAAAUGCUCACUAACCUCUCUCUCUGAUGAAGGAUCCACUCCAGGCUAGUCCUUAUCGUGCCACAUAGAGGUCUUCACGACCCAUGAUCUUGAUGUAGUCCAUGAACUCCAAGAGAUGAAUCGAUGGAUAGAGGCAUUGUAACAUUAGGUAGUGGAUCG
rnacentral:lncRNA from 1 species